AGGACGAACGCUGGCGGCGUGCCUAAUACAUGCAAGUCGAACGAGACUUUCCUUGGUGGUAACACCUUUGAUUGUCUAGUGGCGAACGGGUGAGUAACACGUGAGAAACCUGCCCUGAAGACGGGGAUAACAGGAGGAAACUUCUGCUAAUACCCGAUACCCCCACCGGAUCGCAUGGUCUGGUGAGGAAAUGGAUUCCGCUUCAGGAGGGUCUCGCGGCCUAUCAGCUUGUUGGUGAGGUACGGCUUACAAGGCUUGGACGGGUAGCUGGUCUGAGGAGGACGAUCAGCCACACGUGGGACUGAGACACGGCCCAGACUCCGUAGGGAGCAGCAAGUAAGGAAU
rnacentral:rRNA from 1 species